rnacentral:rRNA from 1 species
AGUCUUAAGCCAUGCGAGUCGAGAGUUGCAAGACCUCGGCGCACUGCUCAGUAACACGUGGACAACCUACCCUGUGGAGGGGGAUAACCCCGGAAAACUGGGGAUAAUACCCCAUAGGUUAGGGAGGCUGGAAUGCCCCCUAGCUCAAAGGUCCGCCGCCACAGGAUGGGUCUGCGGCCGAUUAGGUUGUUGUUGGGGUAACGGCCCAACAAGCCUUUGAUCGGUACGGGUUGUGGGAGCAAGAGCCCGGAGAUGGAUUCUGAGACACGAAUCCAGGCCCUACGGGGCGCAGCAGGCGCGAAAACUUUACAAUGCGAGAAAUCGUGAUAAGGGAACCCCGAGUGCCCGUAAAUUCGGGCUGUCCGCCAGUGCAAAAAACUGGUGAAGAAAGAGCCGGGCAAGACCGGUGCCAGCCGCCGCGGUAAUACCGGCGGCUCGAGUGGUGGCCACUAUUACUGGGCUUAAAGCGUCCGUAGCUUGGUUGUUAAGUCUCCUGGGAAAUCCAUCGGCUCAACCGAUGGGCGUUCAGGAGAUACUGGCAACCUAGGGACCGGGAGAGGUGAGAGGUACUCCAGGGGUAGGAGUGAAAUCCUGUAAUCCUUGGGGGACCACCUGUGGCGAAGGCGUCUCACUAGAACGGCUCCGACAGUGAGGGACGAAAGCUGGGGGAGCAAACCGGAUUAGAUACCCGGGUAGUCCCAGCUGUAAACGAUGCGCGUUAGGUGUAUCGGUGACCACGAGUCACCGAGGUGCCGAAGAGAAAUCGUGAAACGUGCCGCCUGGGAAGUACGGUCGCAAGGCUGAAACUUAAAGGAAUUGGCGGGGGAGCACCACAACAGGUGGAGCCUGCGGUUUAAUCGGACUCAACGCCGGGAAGCUCACCGGAUAAGACAGCUGAAUGAUAGCCGGGUUGAAGACUCUGCUUGACUAGCUGAGAGGAGGUGCAUGGCCGUCGUCAGUCGUACUGAGUUAUNNNA